rfam:Myotis brandtii contig151977, whole genome shotgun sequence.
GGCAGUUCUUGGGUGACACACCCCAGAACCAGAGAGGAGGGAGCCUGAUUCCAGGGUGCAUCACCCAAGAACUUCC